AGGGCUCCACAGUCCACCCGCGCUGAUUAAACUCGAUUUAAACAGUAAACACGUUCAAACACGUUGAAACACGUUAGCUCAAUCCAGCUCAAUCCAAAAAAUAUUAUAACUCUUUUCUCUUGCACAUUACAGUGGUGAGCGGUGCAUUAAUUUAAAAUUUGGAAAGAACUUUGUGGAAGUUAAUACAAUGGUUUUGCAACGAUUUGUUGAAGCGGGACGUAUUGCGUACAUUCAAGAGGGGCAAUAUCGAGGAAAGUUGGUGUCCAUUGUAGACGUCAUUGAUGCAAAUAGAUGUUUAAUAGAUGGCCCAGAAUCAAACGUACCUCGUUGUCAAAUUAAUUUAAAAAGCUUACACUUAACCAAGUUUAAAAUCAGUAUCCCCUACACUGGAUCAACAAAAGUUAUACGAAAAGCAUGGAUAAACUCUCGUGUUGAAGAAAAGUGGAGGAGUAGCUUGUGGGGUCAAAAAGUUGAAAACAAAAACAAGAGAAGAAACAUGAACGACUUCGCAAGAUUUAAAGUGGGAAAAGCCAAACAGAUUUACAACAAAUUGAGAACAAAUGCUUUCACUACGUUGAAAAAUAACUUAAAGUCCUAAUAACUGCACUAAAUACGUUUUUUGUUUUUAAGUUAUUAUUUAUUUCUUGUAAAUG